CUUCACUUAGCUCAGGGUGGAAAAGGCUGUUAUCGAGGUCUAGAAUUUUCCUGUGGCUGAGACGCAGGUGGGUUUUAUGUAACCCAUGAUGACUGAAAGCUGCCAUGUGGCUAAAGAUGGCCGUGGAUUGCUGACCCUUCUCCGUUAUCCGUCCUUGUGUGGGAUUACAGAAGCGCCAGCCACCCUGUGGCUCUUCCGCAUAUUGUUAUCUGUUGGGUGCCCUGGAGCCUGAACCAAGGGCCUUCCUGGGUAAAGACUCUGCUGAUGGCAUGUGCAGUCCUGGCCAGAGUCCAUCAACCUGGCCAGUAUUUAAUUAAAACUUGCUUCAGAUUUGGCUCAAAAUUGUAGAACUGGCUUCACUCAAAUUUCAGGAUUAGCAUAUAUGUAUAAAGUGUCAUAACAAAACUAUUAUGUAUCAUUAACAUGCAUUAAUAACAACAAUGUAAUGAGAUUAAGAUCCUACCUUGAAAACUACUCUAUGACCCAGAUGACUCCACCAGAGGCCAGAGAUUAGCAGGCCGAUGUACUUUUUUCUCCUUUUUAGACAUAGUAUCUAUGAAUAUUUAACUUUUUAAAAAAUACUAUUUUGUGUGUGAGUGUUUGCAUGUCUGUCUGUACACCACAUGUGCCUGGUGCCUUAAAACUAGAUAUAGAUGGCUGUGAGCUGUCAUGUAGAUGCUGGGAAUUGAACUUGGGUUCUCUGCAAGAGUCAUCUCUCCAGUUCAUUAAUUCUUCUUAGAAAUUGUACUAUGCUGGACGGUGGUGUCGCAUGCCUUUACUCCCAGCAUUUAGGAGGCAGAGGCAGGCAGAUCUCCGUGAGUUCAAAGCCAGCCUGGUCUACAGCAUGAGUUCCAGGACAGCCAGGACUACACAGAGAAACCCCGUCUCGAAAAACAAAAACAAACUUAAAAAGUGUCUGUGCUAAUUUUUUAAAUGAUUUAUUUAUUUACUCCAUGUGCAUUAAGGGUUUUCCCCACAUGUAUGUCUGUGUGAGGGUGUCAGAGCCCCUAGAACUCGAAUACAGACAGUUGUGAGCUGCCAUAUGGGUGCCGGGAAUUGAAACCAAUUCUCUGGAAGAACAGCCAGUGCUCUCAACUGCCGAGCCAUCUCUCCAGCCCAAUUCAACAUCUUACUGGUGUUCUUGGGGAACUACCACCAACAAAACUGCUGUGGCUGGAAGCCUGUGUCGG
rnacentral:lncRNA from 1 species